ensembl:snRNA U6 U6 spliceosomal RNA
GUGCUAGUUUUGAAAGCAUAUAUGCUAAAAUUGGAAUAUAUAUAGAAGAUUCCCAUGGCCCAUCCACAAAGAUGACAUGCAAAUUUGUGGAGCAUUCCAUAUUUUU